GGGGAUUUAGCUCAGCGGCAUAAGCGCCUGCCUUGCAAGCAGGCAGUCGUGAGUUCGAUUCCUGGUACCCG
rfam:Cavia porcellus supercont2_0 genomic scaffold, whole genome shotgun sequence.